AAAUUGAAGAGUUUGAUCAUGGCUCAGAUUGAACGCUGGCGGCAGGCCUAACACAUGCAAGUCGAACGGUAACAGGAAGCAGCUUGCUGCUUUGCUGACGAGUGGCGGACGGGUGAGUAAUAUCUGGGAAACUGCCUGAUGGAGGGGGAUAACUACUGGAAACGGUGGCUAAUACCGCAUAACGUCGCAAGACCAAAGAGGGGGACCUUCGGGCCUCUUGCCAUCAGAUGUGCCCAGAUGGGAUUAGCUAGUUGGUGAGGUAACGGCUCACCAAGGCGACGAUCCCUAGCUGGUCUGAGAGGAUGACCAGCCACACUGGAACUGAGACACGGUCCAGACUCCUACGGGAGGCAGCAGUGGGGAAUAUUGCACAAUGGGCGCAAGCCUGAUGCAGCCAUGCCGCGUGUAUGAAGAAGGCCUUCGGGUUGUAAAGUACUUUCAGCGGGGAGGAAGGUGUUGUGGUUAAUAACC
rnacentral:rRNA from 1 species